rnacentral:rRNA from 1 species
UACGGAGGGUGCAAGCGUUAAUCGGAAUUACUGGGCGUAAAGCGUGCGCAGGCGGUUUGUUAAGUCCGCUGUGAAAUCCCCGAGCUCAACUUGGGAAUUGCAGUGGAUACUGGCAAGCUGGAGUAUGGUAGAGGAAGGUGGAAUUCCCGGUGUAGCGGUGAAAUGCGCAGAUAUCAGGAAGAACACCCGUGGCUAAGGCGGCUCUCUAGUACGGUACUGACGCUGAGACGCGAAAGCGUGGGGAGCGAACAGG